rnacentral:rRNA from 1 species
UACGACUACAUAUCAGGCAUAUCAAUAAGCGGAGGAAAAGAAACUAACAAGGAUUCCCUUAGUAACGGCGAGUGAAGCGGGAAGAGCUCAAAUUUGAAAUCUUCAAGGUUCUACCUUGACGAAUUGUAGUUUAUAGAAGUGUUUUCUGUUAGUGGAGUGGCAAAAGUUCUUUGGAAUAGGACAUCAUAGAGGGUGAGAAUCCCGUAUUUGGUCAUUCCUCCUAGCGUUGUGAUACACUUUCAACGAGUCGGAUUGUUUGGGAAUGCAGUCCAAAAUGGGUGGUAAAUCUCAUCUAAAGCUAAAUAUUGGCGAGAGACCGAUAGCGAACAAGUACCGUGAGGGAAAGAUGAAAAGAACUUUGAAAAGAGAGUUAAACAGUACGUGAAAUUGUCAAAAGGGAAGCGUUUGACACCAGUGUUGUUUUUCCGAAAAUCAAUUACGAAUGUUUUGUUUUUAAGAAGUUAUGACUUCAUCGGCUUGCUUCUUUCUUUACGAAACUUUCUUAAUGCACUUUUCGGUUAACAAGUCAACAUCAAUUUCUUUUGUUGUAAAAGGGUAUGAGGAAGGUGGCUUUCUUUUCGGAGAAAGUGUUUAUAGCCUUGUGCCUCUGCAAUCGGAGAGAUUGAGGUCUGCAGCGUAGAUCCUUCGGGGUUAGAUACAUUUGUGCUAAGUUAUAGCUUUUCAUAGACAACUUGUUGACCUAUGUUUAGUCUUGUAGCUUACUCGCUUAUGCUAUUUUACCUACGCUUAGGAUGUUGAUCUCUCACAGUCGAGC